rnacentral:misc_RNA from 1 species
CAGAUUCAUCUUGUCCGCCUUCAUGAGCAGUCCAAGAAGAACCUGGAGCAAGACAUUCAGAACUACAGGGAGGAGGCCCAGAAACAGAGGAAGAUCAUCUACCAGCUGGAGAAGGAGAGAGAUCGCUACAUCAAUGAGGCCAGCGAUCUCACGCAAAGGGUUCUCUCGCAUAUGGAAGAUGUCAAGGUUCGCGAGAUGCAGAUUUUCGAUUACAAAAAGAAGAUUGCUGAGGCAGAUACCAAACUGAGGCAGCAGCAGAACUUGUAUGAGGCUGUACGAAGUGACAGGAACUUGUACAGCAAAAACCUCAUCGAGUCUCAGGAUGAGAUUACCGAGAUGAAGAGGAAGCUGAAGAUCAUGAACCAUCAGAUUGAUCAACUGAAGGAGGAGAUUCAGGCCAAGGAGAAUGCCCUCCUCAAGGAGCACUUUGAGCAUCAGCGUGUAGAGAAGGACAAAGAAAACCUCAAGUCCGAGUUGAACCGCCUCAAACAGCAAGCGCAGGAGAGCAAGGCAUACAUUGAGGCACAGGAGGCUGAGGAGAGGAAGCUGCUGAAGAUUAUUGCUGAGGCGGAUGCUGAGCGAGUCAGACAGAAGAAGGAGCUCGAUCAGGUGAUCAGCGAGAGAGAUAUUCUAGGAACACAGUUGGUUAGGAGAAAUGAUGAAUUGGCUCUUCUGUACGAGAAGAUCAAAAUCCAACAGUCCACACUGAAUAAGGGAGAGAUUCAGUAUAACCAGAGAUUGGAGGAUAUCAGAGUGCUCAAACUCGAGAUCAAGAAACUCAGACGGGCAAACGCCAUUUUGGAGAAGAGGGUAGCCAAUGUAAAGGACCUCAGACUCGAGGUAUACCACAUUCAGAGAGAGUUGCUGAGGGAGAGAACUCGAUGCAAGGCCCUGGAGGAAGAGUUAGAGAAUCCUAUGAACAUCCACAGAUGGAGAAAACUAGAGGGAAGUGACCCAAGCACUUAUGAGAUGAUUCAGAAGAUUCAGACCCUACAGAAACGAUUGAUCUCCAAGACGGAGGAAGUCGUGGAGAAAGAGCUACUGAUCCAAGAGAAAGAGAAACUCUAUCUAGAACUGAAGCACAUCUUGGCACGACAGCCUGGCCCAGAGGUUGCCGAACAGCUUACGAUUUACCAGCAGACGCUCAAGGAAAAAACGAAACAAAUGAAGUCUAUGGCAUCGGAAUUAAAUAUGUACGAAUCACAAGUCAAUGAAUACAAGUACGAAAUCGAGAGAAUAGCUAGAGAACUACAAGAAGUCAAGAAGAAAUAUUUCAUGCAGAAAAAGAAAGAACAACAAACAAAAGAAAGAGAGAGGGCGUUAGCACAAGCGGGGGCCCCUGUUAUUCAACCCCAGAGAACAGAUGGGCCCCGAUUCACAGGAGGGGGAUUCAACCUAAAGUCUACUAAAACAGCCGCUUAAUCAGAACUGAGUCUAAAAAUAGCAGAUCCAGCAUGUGAUUCAUGGAUCCAACAAUUUCUUCCUAUACUCACCGUAAAAUAUCAAGUUAUCAAGGUUUUAUUUUUUGGACUCUGCAAGACAAAAUCUGAUAUUAUUUUGACUUAUGUUUAGAGCAAAUAAAAGAUGAAGAAGUUUAAUAUUUAUGAAAAGAAGAAUAUGUUAUGAAAGCUUUCACUUAUUUGGAACUUUACUUUAGGCUUACAUCUGUGAUAAUUUGUUGUUUUUAUGUGAGUUUAUAUCACAAAUUUUAAUAAACAUGAUGAAUUC